rnacentral:rRNA from 1 species
UACGGAGGGCGCAAGCGUUGUUCGGAAUUACUGGGCGUAAAGCGCGUGUAGGCGGCCAGGUAAGUCGGAUGUGAAAGCCCGGGGCCCAACCCCGGAACUGCACCCGAUACUGCCUGGCUGGAGUCCCGGAGAGGAUGGCGGAAUUUCCGGUGUAGAGGUGAAAUUCGUAGAUAUCGGAAGGAACACCAGUGGCGAAGGCGGCCAUCUGGACGGUGACUGACGCUGAGACGCGAAAGCGUGGGGAGCAGACAGG